rnacentral:rRNA from 1 species
UUAACAGGAUUAGAUACCCUGGUAGUCCACGCCGUAAACGAUGUCUACUUGGAGGUUGUGGCCUUGAGCCGUGGCUUUCGGAGCUAACGCGUUAAGUAGACCGCCUGGGGAGUACGGUCGCAAGAUUAAAACUCAAAUGAAUUGACGGGGGCCCGCACAAGCGGUGGAGCAUGUGGUUUAAUUCGAUGCAACGCGAAGAACCUUACCUACUCUUGACAUCCAGAGAACUUUUCAGAGAUGGAUUGGUGCCUUCGGGAACUCUGAGACAGGUGCUGCAUGGCUGUCGUCAGCUCGUGUUGUGAAAUGUUGGGUUAAGUCCCGCAACGAGCGCAACCCUUAUCCUUGUUUGCCAGCGAGUAAUGUCGGGAACUCCAGGGAGACUGCCGGUGAUAAACCGGAGGAAGGUGGGGAUGACGU